AGCCAGCAGCAGCGGAUCUACACCGUUCUGUGGCGGUUGAGCAGCCUUCGAUUCCGGUUGAUUUUUGUCCCUCUGAGCUUGCGCUUGCCGCAACUCCACUAUCCGCUGGUUCCAGCCCUGGCACUCGCUGUCCUCCUCUGACGGGAAGGUCGUGGCCUGUGGCCCUGCGGCCAACUGUGCCGAGUGGAGCUCCAGCGUCCCCCCACUACCCCAUGGCCUCGCUUUACGUGGGAGACCUCCACCCCGACGUGACCGAGGCGAUGCUCUACGAGAAGUUUAGCCCCGCCGGGCCCAUCCUCUCCAUCCGGGUCUGCAGGGACAUGAUCACUUGCCACUCCUUGGGCUACGCGUAUGUGAACUUCCAGCAGCAGGCGGACGCGGAGCGUGCUGUGAACACCAUGAAUUUUGAUGUUAUAAAGGGCAAGCCAGUACGUAUCCUGUGGUCUCAGCAUGAUCCAUCGCUUCGAAAAAGUGGAGAGGGCUUCAUAUUCAUUAAAAAUCUGGACAGAUCCAUUGAUAAUAAAGCACUGUAUGAUACAUUUUCUGCUUUUGGUAACAUCCUUUCAUGUAAGGUGGUUUGUGAUGAAAAUUGUUCCAAGGACUAUGGAUUUGUACACUUUGAGGCACAGGAAGCAGCUGAAAGAGCCAUUGAAAAAAUGAAUGGAAUCCUCCUAAAUGAUCGCAAAGUAUGUAUUGGAAGAUUUAAGUCUCUUAAAGAACGAGAAGCUGAACUUGGAGCUGUGGCAAAAAAGUUCACCAAUGUUUACAUCAAGAAUUUUGGAGAAGACAUGGAUGAUGAGCGCCUUAAGGAACUCUUUGGCAAGUUUGGGCCUCCCUUAAGUGUGAAAGUAAUGACUGAUGAAAGUGGAAAAUCCAAAGGAAUUGGAUUUGUAAGCUUUGAAAGGCAUGAGGAUGCACAGAAAGCUGUGGAUGAGAUGAAUGGAAAGGACCUCAAUGGAAAACAAAUUUACGUUGGUCGAGCUCAGAAAAAAGUGGAACGGCAGAUGGAACUUAAGUGCAAAUUUGAACAGGUGAAGCAAGAUAAGAUCACUAGAUACCACGGUGUUAAUCUUUAUGUGGAAAAUCUUGAUGAUGGUAUUGAUGAUGAACAUCUCCAGAAAGUGUUUUCUCCAUUUGGUACAAUUACUAGUGCAAAGGUUAUGAUGGAGAGUGGUCUCAGCAAAGGGGUUGGUUUUGUUUGUUUCUCCUCACCAGAAGCAGCCACUAAAGCAGUUACAGAAAUGAACGGUAGAAUUGUGGCCACGAAGCCAUUGUAUGUAACUUUAGCUCAGCGCAAAGGAUUGCGCCAGGCUCACCUCACUAACCAGUAUAUGCAGAGAAUGGCAAGUGUACAAGCUGUGCCCAACCCUGUAAUCAACCCCUACCAGCCAGCACCACUUUCAGGUUACUUCAUGGCCGCUAUCCCACAGACUCAGAACCAUGCUGCAUACUCUCCUCCUAGCCAAAUUGCUCAACUAAGACCAAGUCCACACUGGAAUGCUCAGGGUGCCAGACCUCAUCCAUUCCAAAAUAUGCCAGGUGCUAUCGGCCCAGCUGCUUCUAGACCACCAUGUAGUACUAUGAGACCAGCUUCUUCACAGGUUCCACAAGUCAUGUCAGCACAGUAUGUUGCUAACACAUCAACACGGACAAUGGGUCCAUGUCCUGCAGCUGCAGCUGCAGCUGCUGCAGCUAAUUCUGGAGUUCGCAAUCCUCAGCAACAUCUUCAUGCACAGCUACAGUUUACAAUGCAGCAGCCUGCUGUUCAUGUACAAGGUCAGGAACCUUUGAUUGCUUCCAUGUUGGCAUUUGCCCCCCCUCAAGAGCAAAAGCAAAUGUUGGGUGAACGGCUGUUUCCUCUUGUUCAAGCCAUACACCCUACUCUUGCUGGUAAAAUCACUGGCAUGUUGUCAGAGACUGAUGUUCAGAACUUCUUCCUAUGUUCGAGUCUCCAGAGUCACUCUGUUUAAGGUUGAUGAAGCUCUAGCUGUACUACAAGCCCACCAAGCUAAAGAGACUGCCCAGAACGCAGUUAACAGUGCCACCACUGUUCGAACUGUUUAAAAUUGAUCAGGGACCAUGAAAAGAGACUUGUGCUUCACUGAAGAAAAAUAUCUAAACAUUAAAAAAUGUAAAUAUUAUGGAAAAAAUUGCAAAUAAAUAAAGGAAACUUUGAACCUUAUGUACCUAGCAAAUAUCAGGUCUAGCAAACACAAUGCUAGUCCUAGAUUACUUAUUGAUUUAAACA